AUUGAACGCUGGCGGCAGGCCUAACACAUGCAAGUCGAACGGUAACAGGAAGCAGCUUGCUGCUUCGCUGACGAGUGGCGGACGGGUGAGUAAAUGUCUGGGGAUCUGCCCGAUGGAGGGGGAUAACCACUGGAAACGGUGGCUAAUACCGCAUAACGUCGCAAGACCAAAGUGGGGGACCUUCGGGCCUCACACCAUCGGAUGAACCCAGAUGGGAUUAGCUAGUAGGUGGGGUAACGGCUCACCUAGGCGACGAUCCCUAGCUGGUCUGAGAGGAUGACCAGCCACACUGGAACUGAGACACGGUCCAGACUCCUACGGAGGCAGCAGUGGGAAUAUGCACAAUGGGCGCAAAGCCUGAUGCAGCCAUGCCGCGUGUAUGAAGAAAGGCCU
rnacentral:rRNA from 1 species